CGCGUAGGCGGUUUCUAAAGUCAGAUGUGAAAGCCCGGGGCUUAACCCCGGAAGUGCAUUUGAAACUUAGGGACUUGAGUAUGGGAGAGGGAAGUGGAAUUCCUGGUGUAGCGGUGAAAUGCGUAGAUGUCAGGAGGAACACCGGUGGCGAAGGCGACUUCCUGGACCAAUACUGACGCUGAGGCGCGAAGGCGUGGGGAGCAAACA
rnacentral:rRNA from 1 species